UCCAAAUAUAUAAAUCAGGCACUAGGGCAUAUCACUAACAUCUACUCCUUAAGCGUAGGCCUCUGAUAAUUCUUUCCUCCCCUGUAAAGCAAGAAAGAGGGAAGGGGACUCCUGUGGUGGCAGAAUGAUGUGAUUGUAGAAAAAAUGGGGAUGCCUCAUUCAAACCUUUCCCCAAUCCUAUCGUAGUUUGGAGCAUGUUCAUCAAGUGCAAAAAGUAGUUGCCACAGCCACGUUUUUCAUUUGCGGCAUCCCGCUCGAGCUCGCCUUUGGCUUCGCCUCUUCGUAAGCUAUCACCGAGAUCAAAGAUUCUUCUCAAUCUGCAGCCCUGCCAUAGAAGGGGUUUUCGGCCCUGAGAGAGUAGUCGAUUUUAUGUUCCAUGAUCAGGUUUACGACCCACUUGGAAUUUGAACUAUCGAUCCUUGAAUCAAGCCAUCAUCCUUGUAGAGGAAAAACUUCAGAGCAUGCUUUCCGGAGCUAAGAAAAUAAUUUUGCUCAAAUCUUUGCUCACUCGUCGAUUUCGGGAUCGUCAUCAGCAAUAACCUUCAUCGAAUGAGGCGGCUUCAUCAUCUCUUCGCAAUCCUGGAGAUCUUUGCCGAAUUUGCGGCUUGGCAGUUACUAGAGAAAACCAAUAAUGAUCCGGUUCCUGGUGGCAGCGACGUAUACUGCAGUGCAUUUCUCAGCCUGGUGUCGAUGGCAUCUACCAAUGGUUACGGAAUAUCUUACAGCUGUGUUAUCCGAGCGUAGAGAUCGGGGAAGAAGCAGGAUUGGACACCCCAUUUUCCGAUCCACAUCAUCACUUAUAUUUUAUCCUGUGCCCUAAGGUAGGUGUUAGGAAAAGAGUCCAUAUUUAAUUGUUCGUAAUUAGUAAAUUACAUAAGAUGGUUGGUUGUGUUUUAUCAAUAUUUUCGCGGAUAUGAAAAUCUAGAUUUUCAAGGUUGUUAUUUCA